rnacentral:rRNA from 1 species
AUUGAACGCUGGCGGCAGGCCUAACACAUGCAAGUCGAGCGAGCGGCGGACGGGUGAGUAAUGUAUGGGGACUGCCCGAUAGAGGGGGAUAACUACUGGAAACGGUGGCUAAUACCGCAUACUAUCGGAUAACCCAUAUGGGAUUAGCUAGUAGUUGGGGUAAAGGCUCACCUAGGCGACGAUCUCUAGCUGGUCUGAGAGGAUGAUUAGCCAAACUGGUAUUGAGACACGGCCCAGACUCCUACGGAGGCAGCAGUGGGGAAUAUUGGACAAUGGGCGAAAGCCUGAUGAAGACAUGCGGCGUGUAGGAAGAAGGUCUCAGUGGUGUAAAGUAUUUUCAGCGGGGAGGCGUUACCCGCAGAAGAAGCACCGGCUAACUCCGUGCCAGCAGCCGCGGUAAUAC